AUGCUUCGAAAUGUUCCAUACGCCGUUGAUAUGCUCUGGAACAUUUCAUAUGCCAUUAAUAAGCUCCGAAAUGUUUCAUUUGUUAUUGAUAUGCUCUGAAACAUUUCAUUCGUUGUUGAUAUGCUCCGAAAUGUUUCAUCUGUUAUUGGCAUGCUCCGAAAUGUUCCAUAUGUCGUUGAUAUGCUCCGAAACAUUUCCUAUGCUAUUAAUAUGCUCCAAUUACUCUAUGCUCCAUUUGUUAUGAACCAAAUAUGUUUUGAAUGACAUGACACAUAUGAUUUGUAUCUAAUGAGAUGGUAUCCUC
rnacentral:lncRNA from 1 species